UGAAGCUCCCACUUUCACCUGGGAGCAGUUGCAUCACAGUUCAAAUAAAAGGUCUUACUGAGUCUGCUGUGUCAACGGGCCUGGGGGACAAAGAAGCCUGCACAGUAGCCUGGACCUGCUGUAGAGUCUUCUCUUCCAUUCUGGGCUCACCCAAACCAACAGCUUUUCCAGUCACAAAGUCUUUAUAACACCUGAGAGAAGAAUGUGUUGCCUCAAAAUCCAAACAGAUGAAAACAACUGCUUCAGGUGUGCUAUGUGGGCAAGCACAGAGAGCAAAGACACUUGCUAGAUUACCAACUGCAUACAGGUCCUACAUACAGGAGACAUUAUUAAUCUGCUCAAGCAGAGAAAUAACAUCUGGUAAGUGGUGCAAUUGGAGUCACUACUUGACUAAGCUAAUGGCAGACCAUCUGGCUUCUGCAAAGGCCGAAGAGAGCUAGCUAGACGGUUAAAAACUACCACUUAGGUUUCCUUUAAGGUCUGUGUGAUAGUACUUAGCUCAGCAACCUCUCUGGAGAUGCAAUUUUUGUUUUGAUUUUCUCAGACAGAAGAAUCCCUGAUGCUUUUCCUCAACAGCCUUGUGGUGGUUUGCAUAUGC
rnacentral:sRNA from 1 species